AAUGAGUGAGCGAAUGAAUGUAAAUACUCAUUUCAUUUUUGUUUUGUGUCAUCUUUUAAAUAUUUAUGUUUAUUUCAUGUAUAUGAGUGUUUUGCCUGCAUGUAUGUCUGUGUGCACCACAUGGGUACCUAAUGCCUUCAGAGGUCAGAAGAGAGUGUUGGAUCCCCUGGAACAGGAGUUACACAAUUGUGAGCUACUGUGUGGGUGUUGGGAACCCACCCCUAAUCCUCUUGUAAGAACGGUAUGCUGCUGCUCCUACCCACAGAGCCGUCUUUCCUUUCCUGUUUCUUUCCUUUGGUGUGGGGCAUGGUUUCCCAUAACCCAGACUAGCUUCAAACUUGCUAUGUACCUGAGAAUAAUCUUGAAGUAUUGAUUCUCUUGCCUCUAAUUCUCAAGUGCUGGGAUUACAGGUGUGAACCACCACACCGCAUUCAUUUAACUCUGGGAUUUCCACUUCUAAUGUACAUUCAGGGUCUCAUCCUCACAGGCUCUCAAAAGGGCAAAAAGGUAAAGGGGGGAACUUAGAGCCUACUGUGAUCUGCUUGAGCAAGCCAGUCAGGGCAGAUCACCUAUUAAAAACAGGAGAUAAUAUUACUUAAUCUCUACUGUUCUUUCCAGCUUGAAGAAAGCUUAAAGUUGUCAGUUAAGCUAAGAUUUUUCUGGGAACUUCUAAACACUUGAAGUUCUGCUUCUCUUGUCUUUUGACCAGCAAACCAUACCAUUUCGUCACCAGUGCCGCCUGCUGGUCAGAGCCAUCCGGUACAGAAGAGCAGCGAUCACCAACAGCGCAUUUGACAGUAUGAAUCCCCUUGGAGAGAGAAGAGCUGGAAGCAGAGAUCCAAUUACAAGAGGAAUAGAACAGCCCAGGGACCAGGGAAGAAAGCCUGGAUUAAUAGUGGUGACUGAAGGAAAGCUCCACAGGCUCCCCUGACUGACAGAGGGUCUUACUAUGUAGCCUUGGUUGGCCUGAAACUCACUACAUAGACAACGUGAGCCUCCAACUCAGAGAUCCACCUGCCUCUGGUCUCCAUGUGCUUGGAGUAAAAGCAUGUGCCAGCACAUCCAGCUUUUUGUUUUGUUUCAUUUUUUAAAUGAGUGUUUACCUGAAUGUCUUCGUACCAUAUGUAGUGUCCCUGGAAGACAGAAGAUAGUGUGGGAUCCCCUGGGACUGAGUUACAGACAGCUGUGAACCACCAUAUGGGUUCUGGGAAUUGAACCCAGGUCCUCUGGAAGAGGAGCCAGUGCUCUUAAACAUUAAGCCAUCUUUCCCCCACUUUAAGUUCUUGAGACAGCAUCUCACUAUGUAGCCCUGGCCAGCCUAGAGCUCAAGAGAUCUGCCUGCUUCUGCCUCCUGAGUGCUGGGAUUAAAGUCAUGUGACCAAUCACUGUAGAUCUGAGAACUUUCGACUGUGCCACUUCCAAACAAGACAUCUAGAAGUCAGUGUUGGAGUAGUUCUCAGUAACAUCGCUUGCAUAGUCUUUGGUGAUAUCUUCAUAUAAUUUUUAUCUGUGGUUGACAAGGCAUGCUUUAAAAAUUUUUAAGAAAAUAGAGAUGAAUUAUGAUAGACUAUCAAAACCAUGGCUUUUUUCUAAGGCUGUCACAGGAGCUUGGAUACAUCCCUUAAUCCACAGUAUAGGCAAUGUUAAUCUACUAAGAAGCUGUUUCAGAAAUCUCGCUUUGAGAGGACUGCAGAAAUGUCCCAGCUUUAGGGCAGCACUUCCCCCGCUAUCCCAUCAUAUACUUGAAACAUAUUCCUUUCUUUUAAAACCUAAUUAUUAUUGAAGAGUUUAAAUAAACAGUCUUACCAAACAGUUCAGGAUAGCCUCACACUCACUACACAGCCUUGAUCAGUCCUGAACUCAUAGAGAUCCUCCUGCCUCAGCCUCCAGAGUGCUGGGGUGAGAGGCAUGCACCACACAUCUUUUAAACGUAACAACUGUUAAUUAAAAGGUUCAGGUUGUUUUGAUUUUUAUAGCCUUACUAUGUACCCAGGCUGGCCUCAAACUUGCAUAAUCCUGCCUCAGCUGCCUACAUUAUGGGUGUGCUCCACAAACGUGGUUUUUGAAGGAAAUACUGUUCCAAGCUGGGAAGUCCGUCCUUCUUUGGCCCUCCCCACCUGCUGUACAACCUACAGCUCUCAAGCACCUUCAGAGCCCCGUGGAAAGCACUACCGUCUUCUGACCUCCAGUCCUACCCGGCCCUCCUGGCCCUCC